rnacentral:tRNA from 2 species
GGGCCGCUGGCUCAAUUUGGCAGAGCAACGGACUCUUAAUCCGUCGGUUGCAGGUUCAAGUCCUGCGCGGCCCA